GUCGAGCGGAUGAAGAGAGCUUGCUCUCUGAUUCAGCGGCGGACGGGUGAGUAAUGCCUAGGAAUCUGCCUGAUAGUGGGGGACAACGUUUCGAAAGGAACGCUAAUACCGCAUACGUCCUACGGGAGAAAGCAGGGGACCUUCGGGCCUUGCGCUAUCAGAUGAGCCUAGGUCGGAUUAGCUAGUUGGUGAGGUAACGGCUCACCAAGGCUACGAUCCGUAACUGGUCUGAGAGGAUGAUCAGUCACACUGGAACUGAGACACGGUCCAGACUCCUACGGGAGGCAGCAGUGGGGAAUAUUGGACAAUGGGCGAAAGCCUGAUCCAGCCAUGCCGCGUGUGUGAAGAAGGUCUUCGGAUUGUAAAGCACUUUAAGUUGGGAGGAAGGGCAUUAACCUAAUACGUUAGUGUUUUGACGUUACCGACAGAAUAAGCACCGGCUAACUUCGUGCCAGCAGCCGCGGUAAUACGAAGGGUGCAAGCGUUAAUCGGAAUUACUGGGCGUAAAGCGCGCGUAGGUGGUUUGUUAAGUUGAAUGUGAAAGCCCCGGGCUCAACCUGGGAACUGCAUCCAAAACUGGCAAGCUAGAGUAUGGCAGAGGGUGGUGGAAUUUCCUGUGUAGCGGUGAAAUGCGUAGAUAUAGGAAGGAACACCAGUGGCGAAGGCGACCACCUGGGCUAAUACUGACACUGAGGUGCGAAAGCGUGGGGAGCAAACAGGAUUAGAUACCCUGGUAGUCCACGCCGUAAACGAUGUCGACUAGCCGUUGGGAUCCUUGAGAUCUUAGUGGCGCAGCUAACGCAUUAAGUCGACCGCCUGGGGAGUACGGCCGCAAGGUUAAAACUCAAAUGAAUUGACGGGGGCCCGCACAAGCGGUGGAGCAUGUGGUUUAAUU
rnacentral:rRNA from 1 species